rnacentral:rRNA from 1 species
GAUGAACGCUAGCGGCAGGCCUAAUACAUGCAAGUCGAGGGGCAGCAGUACUUUUCGGAGUAGCUGGCGACCGGCGCACGGGUGCGUAACGCGUAUGCAAUCUACCCACAGCAGAGGGAUAGCCCGUGGAAACAUGGAUUAAUACCUCAUAACACAGGGAGCCCACCUGGGCAUAUUGUUAAAGCUACGGCGGCAGUGGAUGAGCAUGCGUCCCAUUAGUUAGUUGGUACGGUAACGGCGUACCAAGACGAUGAUGGGUAGGGGUUCUGAGAGGAUGAUCCCCCACACUGGUACUGAGAUACGGACCAGACUCCUACGGGAGGCAGCAGUAGGGAAUAUUGGUCAAUGGACGGAAGUCUGAACCAGCCAUGCCGCGUGCAGGAAGACGGCCUUCUGGGUUGUAAACUGCUUUUCUCAGGGAAGAAAAAGGCCUUGCGAGGCAAAUUGCCGGUACCUGAGGAAUAAGCACCGGCUAACUCCG